CCCAAGUGUGAUGAGAGGUGACCAGUUGUCCGGGCUCCCCGUGCUGGGGCGGGAGGAGGUAACCAUGGCAACACCUGUCGGUUAUCAGCCGUUGUUUCUUUGGAGCUCCCAAUUCAUCAGGGCUUAUUGCUUACAGAGUGCUUUCACAAGCACUGUUCAUUGGAUGCUCACAACAGUCUUGAGAGGUAGGUAUUGUUAUUUAUCUCAUUUUACAAAAGAGAAAACUGAAGCUAAAAGAGGUCAAGAAAUCCAAACAAGCUAAUCAGCUCAGAUUUGAACCCAAGUCUCUUAACACCACGUGAUUUGCUCUCUCUCUGAUGGCAAACUGAUGUAUUCAGCUUACCGAGGAGUUCUAGAGUACCAGUUGAAGAAAGUUAGACUUAAUUCUGCGCAUGUUAGGGAGCAUUUAAGCAGAGGAUCGGCAUGUUGAAAUUGGUGUUAUGGAAAGUUGAAUAUUCUGGAUUAGAUGGAAAAAUAGACACCGUUGAGGGCCUGGGGAGAGAAAGCUGAGCUAAUUACAGUAUUUCAGGAGUAAACAGAGCCUUGGCACUAGGAGCUUGGUGAGUGAAGGAUGAAUAGAGGGACAAAGACUGAAAAGAAAAGGAAGUGCACCCUAACGAGCGACAACAAUUGAAAUGCAAAAUGCUCAGAAGGAGACAGUCCAGCAUCCAAAAUUAUAGCUGCUGUUUCCACUUCUACUUGCUGGAUCAAAAGCUGGGAGCACACCGUUCUGUUUCUCUUGUUCAUUCUGCAUGCUUGAGCCUUCUUUCUAUGGCUUUGCCCAGAGCUCUACAUGCGCCGAGCGUCACAGACACUGUUAUCUAUUGUUUCUCACAUCCAGGGGCCAAGGUCUCAGCACUUAAAUCUAGAAAGUGGUUUUAGAAUGCCCUAGGGACCCAACUGUGGGGAAAGUUUUUCAGCAUCCUAAACGAAAAUAUCUUCCAAGUAAAAG
rnacentral:lncRNA from 1 species